rnacentral:rRNA from 1 species
AGUGAACGCUGCGGUAGGCCUAACACAUGCAAGUCGAACGGCAGCACAGUAAGAGCUUGCUCUUCCGGGUGGCGAGUGGCGGACGGGUUAGGAAUACAUCGGAAUCUACUUUUUCGUGGGGGAUAACGUAGGGAAACUUACGCUAAUACCGCAUCCGACCUACGGGUGAAAGCAGGGGAUCUUCGGACCUUGCGCGUUUGAAUGAGCCGAUGUCGGAUUAGCUGGUUGGCGGGGUAAAGGCCCACCAAGGCGACGAUCCGUAGCUGGUCUGAGAGGAUGAUCAGCCAAACUGGAACUGAGACACGGUCCAGACUCCUACGGGAGGCAGAAGUGGGGAAUAUUGGACAAUGGGCGCAAGCCUGAUCCAGCCAUACCGCGUGGGUGAAGAAGGCCUUCGGGUUGUAAAGCCCUUUUGUUGGGAAAGAAAAGCAGCAGGUUAAUACCCCGCUGUUCUGACGGUACCCAAAGAAUAAGCACCGGCUAACUUCGUG